GUAACAGCUCACUAGUCGAAUGACUCUGCGCCGAUAAUUUACCGGGGCUAAGCAUGACACCGAAGCUAUGGACAGGAAUGUGGUAGGGGAGCAUUGCAUGCAGCGGAGAAGCAUGACCGUAAGGGCAUGUGGAGCGCAUGGAAGAGAGAAUGCCGGCGUGAGUAGCGGCACGUGGGUGAGAAUCCCACGCACCGAUGGCCCAAGGUCUCCAGAGGAAGGCUCGUCCUCUCUGGGAUAGUCGGGACCUAAGGCGAGGCCGAAAGGCGUAGCCGAUGGACGACGGGUGGAUAUUCCCGUACCCGAUGUGUGGCGAUGGAGUGACGGAGAAGGCUCAGGCAACCAGCUGCUGGAAUAGCUGGGGCAAGCGAGAUACCUGCGCACCAGGGAAAUCCGGUGCGCAUAAGGGGAAGGCGCGAAGCAUACGGAAAGCUGCGGCAAGUACGGAAGAGCUGAGAGCAGGCUUCCAGGAAAAGCUUCUAGCACAACACGCAUCGGCCCGUACCGAAAAUGGACACACAUGGGCAAGGAGAGAAUCCUGAGGUGAGCGAGAGAACUAUAGCUAAGGAACUCUGCAAAAUGACCCCGUAACCUAGGGAGAAGGGGUGCUCCAGAAAUGGAGCCGCAGUAAAACGGCCCAAGCGACUGUUUACCAAAAACACAGCUCUCUGCGAAGGCGCAAGCCGAAGUAUAGGGGGUGACGCCUGCCCGGUGCUGGAAGGUCAAGGGGAGCUGUCAGCGCAAGCGAAGCAGCGAGCCGAAGCCCCAGUAAACGGCGGCCGUAACUAUAACGGUCCUAAGGUAGCGAAAUUCCUUGUCGGGCAAGUUCCGACCCGCACGAAAGGCGUAACGAUUUGGGCGCUGUCUCAGCUGUAGACUCGGUGAAGUCUUAGUACCUGUGAAGAUGCAGGUUGCCCGCGACUAGACGGAAAGACCCCAUGGAGCUUCACUGCAGGUUGACAUUGGGCUUGGAUGCAUGAUGUACAGGAUAGGUGGGAGGCUGAGAGCCGUGCGCGCCAGCGUACGGGGAGCCGCUGUUGGGAUACCACCCUUCAUGCAUCUAGGUCCUAACCGGAGGCAACGGGCCACGGGACAGUGUCAGUCGGGCAGUUUGACUGGGGCGGUCGCCUCCCAAAGAGUAACGGAGGCGCCCAAAGAUACCCUCAGCAUGGAUGGAAACCAUGCAUAGAGUGCAAAGGCAUAAGGGUGUCUGACUGCGAGACAUACAGGUCGAGCAGGGACGAAAGUCGGGCUUAGUGAUCCGGCGGAUCCGAAUGGAAGGGCCGUCGCUCAACGGAUAAAAGCUACCCUGGGGAUAACAGGCUGAUCUCCCCCAAGAGUUCACAUCGACGGGGAGGUUUGGCACCUCGAUGUCGGCUCAUCGCAUCCUGGAGCUGAAGUCGGUUCCAAGGGUUGGGCUGUUCGCCCAUUAAAGCGGUACGCGAGCUGGGUUCAGAACGUCGUGAGACAGUUCGGUCCCUAUCUGUCGUGGGCGCAGGAGGUUUGAGGAGAGCUGCCCCUAGUACGAGAGGACCGGGGUGGACGGACCGAUGGUGCACCAGUUGUCACGCCAGUGGCACAGCUGGGCAGCCAAGUCCGGACGGGAUAAGCGCUGAAGGCAUCUAAGCGUGAAGCCCCCUCCAAGAUGAGACCUCCCAUUGGCGACAAGUAAGGCCCCUCGAAGACGACGAGGUUGAUAGGCCGCGAGUGCAAGCGCAGCGAUGUGCUUAGCGGGGCGGUACUAAUAGGCCGAGGACUUGGCCAA
rnacentral:rRNA from 1 species